CGGACGGGUGAGUAACGCGUGAGCAAUCUGCCUUUCAGAGGGGGACAACAGUUGGAAACGACUGCUAAUACCGCAUAACGUACCGGUGCGGCAUCGCACUGAUACCAAAGAUUAUAUAUCGCUGAGAGAUGAGCUCGCGUCCAAUUAGCUAGAUGGUGGGGUAAUGGCUCACCAUGGCGACGAUUGGUAGCCGGACUGAGAGGUUGAACGGCCACAUUGGGACUGAGACACGGCCCAGACUCCUACGGGAGGCAGCAGUGGGGGAUAUUGCGCAAUGGGGGCAACCCUGACGCAGCAACGCCGCGUGAAGGAAGAAGGUCUUCGGAUUGUAAACUUUUGUCUUGUGGGACGAAACGAAUGACGGUACC
rnacentral:rRNA from 1 species